CCUACGGGAGGCAGCAGUGGGGAAUAUUGCACAAUGGGGGAAACCCUGAUGCAGCGACGCCGCGUGAGUGAAGAAGUAUUUCGGUAUGUAAAGCUCUAUCAGCAGGGAAGAAAAUGACGGUACCUGAUUAAGAAGCCCCGGCUAACUACGUGCCAGCAGCCGCGGUAAUACGUAGGGGGCAAGCGUUAUCCGGAUUUACUGGGUGUAAAGGGAGCGUAGACGGCAGCACAAGUCUGGAGUGAAAUGCCGGGGCUUAACCCCGGAACUGCUUUGGAAACUGUGCAGCUAGAGUGCAGGAGAGGUAAGUGGAAUUCCUAGUGUAGCGGUGGAAUGCGUAGAUAUUAGGAGGAACACCAGUGGCGAAGGCGGCUUACUGGACUGUAACUGACGUUGAGGCUCGAAAGCGUGGGGAGCAAACAGGAUUAGAUACCCCUGUAGUC
rnacentral:rRNA from 1 species